rnacentral:lncRNA from 1 species
AUGCGCCCAAACUACUACUACCCAGCUACUCUGGAGGCUGAGGCGAAGAAUCGCUUGAACCCAGGAGGUAGAAGUUGCAGUGAGCCAAGACUGAGCCACUGUGCUCCAGCCUGGCGACAGAGCAAGACUCCGUCUCGAAAGAAAAAAAAAGAAAGAAAGCAAAGCUGGACAGAACUUUCAUAUGUGUAUAAAAUCCUGCUCUCUAUGGAACCCCUUCAACUUGCUGAAUCAAAUGAUCUAUGUAGCAAAGUAGAUUUCAUGGAAGCAUAGAAGACGAAGAAAAGAUGACAUAGUGAAAAAAGUCUGGCUACUGGUAUAAAGACUAAACCAGGAAGAAGUAGAAUUCCUGAAUAGACCAAUAACAAGUUCUGAAACUGAGGCAGUAAUUAAUAGCCUGCCAAUAACAACAAAAAAAGUCCAGGACCAGAUAAAUUCACAGAGGAAUUCUACCAGAGGUACAAAGAAGAGCUAGUACCAUUGCUUCUAAAACUAUUCCAAACAAUAGAAAAAGAGGGACUCCUUCCUAACUCAUUUUAU